UCUUAUGAUUGAUAAAACAGGCAUUGGUGGUGGACAUGAUGCAGCGGAUCUUUUGCACCACUCAUAAGAUGAUUGUCUGGUUAAAUGUGCUAUUGUGAUGUACUAAUUAGCAGGUAUCUAGGAUCACAUUCCGGUGGCUGAGAAGCAGAAAUGGGUUGUGUUCUGUAGGUUCUUGCAUUGUGUACGUUGUGCUCCAUCCAGAAGUUAGCCGUCUUUGCUGGUCACUUGUGAAGUUUGACUUCAGGAAUUUGCCAUCUACUAUCUAAUUUCUUUACACAAUCAGUCAACUCGCAUGACGGAUUGACUUCCUUGGAUUAAUGAUUAGUUAAUUUGUGUUAUGCUUUCCAAACAAUCAUGUUGAGGCGGGUCACCUGUGAGUUGUGUUUCAGGUUGAGAUUCCAACAUCAAAUCUUUGCUUAUGUCUUGUA